UACGAAGGGGGCUAGCGUUGUUCGGAAUUACUGGGCGUAAAGCGCACGUAGGCGGAUCGGUCAGUUAGGGGUGAAAUCCCAGGGCUCAACCCUGGAACUGCCUUUAAUACUGCCGGUCUUGAGUUCGAGAGAGGUGAGUGGAAUUCCGAGUGUAGAGGUGAAAUUCGUAGAUAUUCGGAGGAACACCAGUGGCGAAGGCGGCUCACUGGCUCGAUACUGACGCUGAGGUGCGAAAGCGUGGGGAGCAAACAGG
rnacentral:rRNA from 1 species